rnacentral:rRNA from 1 species
ACAGUGGACGCGAGCAUCUGUGGCCAAGUUUUUAAGGGCGCACGGUGGAUGCCUUGGCACCAGGAACCGAUGAAGGACGUGGGAGGCCACGAUAGUCCCCGGGGAGUCGUCAACCAGGCUUUGAUCCGGGGGUUUCCGAAUGGGGAAACCCGGCAGUCGUCAUGGGCUGUCACCCGCUGCUGAACACAUAGGCAGUGUGGAGGGAACGCGGGGAAGUGAAACAUCUCAGUACCCGCAGGAAGAGAAAACAACCGUGAUUCCGGGAGUAGUGGCGAGCGAAACCGGAUGAGGCCAAACCGUAUGCGUGUGAGACCCGGCAGGGGUUGCGUGUGCGGGGUUGUGGGAUCUCUCUUUUACGGUCUGCCGGCCGUGAGACGAGUCAGAAACCGUUGAUGUAGGCGAAGGACAUGCGAAAGGUCCGGCGUAGAGGGUAAGACCCCCGUAGUCGAAACAUCAGCGGCUCGUUUGAGAGACACCCAAGUAGCACGGGGCCCGAGAAAUCCCGUGUGAAUCUGGCGGGACCACCCGCUAAGCCUAAAUAUUCCCUGGUGACCGAUAGCGGAUAGUACCGUGAGGGAAUGGUGAAAAGUACCGCGGGAGCGGAGUGAAAUAGUACCUGAAACCGUGUGCCUACAAGCCGUGGGAGCGUCGGAGCAAGGCUUGCCUUGUUCUCGUGACUGCGUGCCUUUUGAAGAAUGAGCCUGCGAGUUUGCGGUGUGUUGCGAGGUUAACCCGGGUGGGGUAGCCGUAGCGAAAGCGAGUCCGAAUAGGGCGUUUGAGUAGCACGCUCAAGACCCGAAGCGGAGUGAUCUAGCCAUGGGCAGGUUGAAGCGGCUGUAAGAGGUCGUGGAGGACCGAACCCACCAGGGUUGAAAACCUGGGGGAUGACCUGUGGUUAGGGGUGAAAGGCCAAUCAAACUCCGUGAUAGCUGGUUCUCCCCGAAAUGCAUUUAGGUGCAGCGUCGUGUGUUUCUUGCCGGAGGUAGAGCACUGGAUAGGCGAUGGGCCCUACCGGGUUACUGACCUUAGCCAAACUCCGAAUGCCGGUAAGUGAGAGCGCGGCAGUGAGACUGUGGGGGAUAAGCUCCAUGGUCGAGAGGGAAACAGCCCAGAGCAUCGACUAAGGCCCCUAAGCGUACGCUAAGUGGGAAAGGAUGUGGAGUCGCAGAGACAACCAGGAGGUUGGCUUAGAAGCAGCCACCCUUGAAAGAGUGCGUAAUAGCUCACUGGUCUAGUGAUUCCGCGCCGACAAUGUAGCGGGGCUCAAGCGUACCGCCGAAGUCGUGUCAUUGCAGCAUGUACUCCCAACGGAGGCUGUGAUGGGUAGGGGAGCGUCGUCUGCCGGGUGAAGCAGCCGCGUAAGCGAGUUGUGGACGGUUGACGAGUGAGAAUGCAGGCAUGAGUAGCGAUUCACACGUGGGAAACGUGUGCGCCGAUUGACUAAGGGUUCCUGGGUCAAGCUGAUCUGCCCAGGGUAAGUCGGGACCUAAGGCGAGGCCGACAGGCGUAGUCGAUGGAUAACCGGUUGAUAUUCCGGUACCCGCUGUGAAGCGUCAAACAUCGAGCAUCGUGAUGCUAAGGCCGUGAAACCGCCGGGUGCGUCUUCGGACAAUCUCGGAGUGGUGGAGCCGCCGGCCCAAGCGGUUAGUAGGUGAGUGAUGGGGUGACGCAGGAAGGUAGUCCAUCCCGGGCGGUGGUUGUCCCGGGGUAAGGGUGUAGGCCGGACGGUAGGUAAAUCCGCCGUUCAUYAAGGCUGAGACCUGAUGCCGAGCCGAUUGUGGUGAAGUGGAUGAUCCUAUGCUGUCGAGAAAAGCCUCUAGCGAGUUUCAUGGCGGCCCGUACCCUAAACCGACUCAGGUGGUCUGGUAGAGAAUACCGAGGCGUUCGGGUGAACUAUGGUUAAGGAACUCGGCAAAAUGCCCCCGUAACUUCGGGAGAAGGGGGGCCAUGUCUGGUGAGCCGUCUUGCACGGUGAGCUGGGUGUGGCCGCAGAGACCAGCGAGAAGCGACUGUUUACUAAAAACACAGGUCCGUGCGAAGCCG